GUGGUUGCUUCUACCGCACAUAUACUAAAAUUAGAAUGAUACCCAGAAGAUUAGCAUGUGCACUGUAUGAAGAUGACAUGCAAAUUCAGGAAGCAUUCAAUGUUUUU
ensembl:snRNA U6 U6 spliceosomal RNA